rnacentral:rRNA from 1 species
AGUGAACGCUGGCGGUAGGCCUAACACAUGCAAGUCGAACGGCAGCACAGUAAGAGCUUGCUCUUACGGGUGGCGAGUGGCGGACGGGUGAGGAAUACAUCGGAAUCUACUUUUUCGUGGGGGAUAACGUAGGGAAACUUACGCUAAUACCGCAUACGACCUACGGGUGAAAGCAGGGGAUCUUCGGACCUUGCGCGAUUGAAUGAGCCGAUGUCGGAUUAGCUAGUUGGCGGGGUAAAGGCCCACCAAGGCGACGAUCCGUAGCUGGUCUGAGAGGAUGAUCAGCCACACUGGAACUGAGACACGGUCCAGACUCCUACGGGAGGCAGCAGUGGGGAAUAUUGGACAAUGGGCGCAAGCCUGAUCCAGCCAUACCGCGUGGGUGAAGAAGGCCUUCGGGUUGUAGAGCCCUUUUGUUGGGAAAGAAAAGCAGCAGGUUAAUACCCCGCUGUUCUGACGGUACGCAAAGAAUAAGCACCGGCUAACUUCGUG